rnacentral:rRNA from 1 species
AACGAACGCUGGCGGCGUGGAUAAGACAUGCAAGUCGAACGGGAUUUUUCUGUAGCAAUACAGGAAAAAGUCUAGUGGCGAACGGGUGCGUAACACGUGAGCAACCUGCCGUGAAGUGGGGGAUAGCUCGCCGAAAGGCGAAUUAAUACCGCAUGUGGCCAAGGAAGACAUCUUCCUGACGCCAAAGCCGGGGCAACCUGGCGCUUCUCGAGGGGCUCGCGGCCUAUCAGCUUGUUGGUGAGGUAACGGCUCACCAAGGCUAUGACGGGUAGCUGGUCUGAGAGGACGACCAGCCACACUGGAACUGAGACACGGUCCAGACACCUACGGGUGGCAG